CAGUUGACCCUCAAUGAAGCCCAGAGACUCUAGUAUGACUUCUUUGACAUUCUGAUGAACCCCAGCCAGAUAAACAACACUCUUAGUAUUGUUGGCAUACAGUGCAGAAGCUACAGAGAAUGUAAGGAAAGCAUCAUGCAUAAUCUGGAUAGAAAUAGUAUCAGCUCGACAGAAUAGGAGAAGAUCAUCAGCAAAACAGAUAUGGGCACAGUUCAGCUUCCUGC
rnacentral:lncRNA from 1 species